GGGUUGUGAGGUUAAGCGACUAAGCGUACACGGUGGAUGCCCUGGCAGUCAGAGGCGAUGAAGGACGUGCUAAUCUGCGAUAAGCGUCGGUGAGGUGAUAUGAACCGUUAUAACCGGCGAUUUCCGAAUGGGGAAACCCAGUGUGUUUCGACACACUAUCAUUAACUGAAUCCAUAGGUUAAUGAGGCGAACCGGGGAACUGAAACAUCUAAGUACCCCGAGGAAAAGAAAUCAACCGAGAUUCCCCCAGUAGCGGCGAGCGAACGGGGAGGAGCCCAGAGCCUGAAUCAGUGUGUGUGUUAGUGGAAGCGUCUGGAAAGGCGCGCGAUACAGGGUGACAGCCCCGUACACAAAAAUGCACAUAUUGUGAGCUCGAUGAGUAGGGCGGGACACGUGGUAUCCUGUCUGAAUAUGGGGGGACCAUCCUCCAAGGCUAAAUACUCCUGACUGACCGAUAGUGAACCAGUACCGUGAGGGAAAGGCGAAAAGAACCCCGGCGAGGGGAGUGAAAAAGAACCUGAAACCGUGUACGUACAAGCAGUGGGAGCCUCUUAAUGGGGUGACUGCGUACCUUUUGUAUAAUGGGUCAGCGACUUAUAUUCUGUAGCAAGGUUAACCGAAUAGGGGAGCCGAAGGGAAACCGAGUCUUAACUGGGCGUUAAGUUGCAGGGUAUAGACCCGAAACCCGGUGAUCUAGCCAUGGGCAGGUUGAAGGUUGGGUAACACUAACUGGAGGACCGAACCGACUAAUGUUGAAAAAUUAGCGGAUGACUUGUGGCUGGGGUGAAAGGCCAAUCAAACCGGGAGAUAGCUGGUUCUCCCCGAAAGCUAUUUAGGUAGCGCCUCGUGAAUUCAUCUCCGGGGGUAGAGCACUGUUUCGGCAAGGGGGUCAUCCCGACUUACCAACCCGAUGCAAACUGCGAAUACCGGAGAAUGUUAUCACGGGAGACACACGGCGGGUGCUAACGUCCGUCGUGAAGAGGGAAACAACCCAGACCGCCAGCUAAGGUCCCAAAGUCAUGGUUAAGUGGGAAACGAUGUGGGAAGGCCCAGACAGCCAGGAUGUUGGCUUAGAAGCAGCCAUCAUUUAAAGAAAGCGUAAUAGCUCACUGGUCGAGUCGGCCUGCGCGGAAGAUGUAACGGGGCUAAACCAUGCACCGAAGCUGCGGCAGCGACACUAUGUGUUGUUGGGUAGGGGAGCGUUCUGUAAGCCUGUGAAGGUGUACUGUGAGGUAUGCUGGAGGUAUCAGAAGUGCGAAUGCUGACAUAAGUAACGAUAAAGCGGGUGAAAAGCCCGCUCGCCGGAAGACCAAGGGUUCCUGUCCAACGUUAAUCGGGGCAGGGUGAGUCGACCCCUAAGGCGAGGCCGAAAGGCGUAGUCGAUGGGAAACAGGUUAAUAUUCCUGUACUUGGUGUUACUGCGAAGGGGGGACGGAGAAGGCUAUGUUGGCCGGGCGACGGUUGUCCCGGUUUAAGCGUGUAGGCUGGUUUUCCAGGCAAAUCCGGAAAAUCAAGGCUGAGGCGUGAUGACGAGGCACUACGGUGCUGAAGCGACAAAUGCCCUGCUUCCAGGAAAAGCCUCUAAGCAUCAGGUAACAUCAAAUCGUACCCCAAACCGACACAGGUGGUCAGGUAGAGAAUACCAAGGCGCUUGAGAGAACUCGGGUGAAGGAACUAGGCAAAAUGGUGCCGUAACUUCGGGAGAAGGCACGCUGAUAUGUAGGUGAAGCGACUUGCUCGUGGAGCUGAAAUCAGUCGAAGAUACCAGCUGGCUGCAACUGUUUAUUAAAAACACAGCACUGUGCAAACACGAAAGUGGACGUAUACGGUGUGACGCCUGCCCGGUGCCGGAAGGUUAAUUGAUGGGGUUAGCGGUAACGCGAAGCUCUUGAUCGAAGCCCCGGUAAACGGCGGCCGUAACUAUAACGGUCCUAAGGUAGCGAAAUUCCUUGUCGGGUAAGUUCCGACCUGCACGAAUGGCGUAAUGAUGGCCAGGCUGUCUCCACCCGAGACUCAGUGAAAUUGAACUCGCUGUGAAGAUGCAGUGUACCCGCGGCAAGACGGAAAGACCCCGUGAACCUUUACUAUAGCUUGACACUGAACAUUGAGCCUUGAUGUGUAGGAUAGGUGGGAGGCUUUGAAGUGUGGACGCCAGUCUGCAUGGAGCCGACCUUGAAAUACCACCCUUUAAUGUUUGAUGUUCUAACGUGGGCCCCUUACCGGGGUUGCGGACAGUGUCUGGUGGGUAGUUUGACUGGGGCGGUCUCCUCCUAAAGAGUAACGGAGGAGCACGAAGGUUGGCUAAUCCUGGUCGGACAUCAGGAGGUUAGUGCAAUGGCAUAAGCCAGCUUGACUGCGAGCGUGACGGCGCGAGCAGGUGCGAAAGCAGGUCAUAGUGAUCCGGUGGUUCUGAAUGGAAGGGCCAUCGCUCAACGGAUAAAAGGUACUCCGGGGAUAACAGGCUGAUACCGCCCAAGAGUUCAUAUCGACGGCGGUGUUUGGCACCUCGAUGUCGGCUCAUCACAUCCUGGGGCUGAAGUAGGUCCCAAGGGUAUGGCUGUUCGCCAUUUAAAGUGGUACGCGAGCUGGGUUUAGAACGUCGUGAGACAGUUCGGUCCCUAUCUGCCGUGGGCGCUGGAGAACUGAGGGGGCUGCUCCUAGUACGAGAGGACCGGAGUGGACGCAUCACUGGUGUUCGGGUUGUCAUGCCAAUGGCACUGCCCGGUAGCUAAAUGCGGAAGAGAUAAGUGCUGAAAGCAUCUAAGCACGAAACUUGCCCCGAGAUGAGUUCUCCCUGACUCCUUGAGAGUCCUGAAGGAACGUUGAAGACGACGACGUUGAUAGGCCGGGUGUGUAAGCGCAGCGAUGCGUUGAGCUAACCGGUACUAAUGAACCGUGAGGCUUAACCUUACAACGCCGAAG
rnacentral:rRNA from 1 species